GAUCACUGAAACUCCACCUGAUGUGGUGGAAGUUGUCGAAGAAGAUCAGAACGCCUUCUAGGACCACCUUCAGGCAUGGGCUGAGAAGGAUGUGGAGGUUUUUGAGCAAGUGAGACUGAACAUCGACAAGGUGCAGGAGAAACAGGGGAGCUACCAGAGAAGAAUCAAGAAGAGGACCAAGUGCUUUGACAUCCGGGUGAACGACUUGGUUUGGAAGAAGGAUUAAAGGAAGGCGAGACCUGGCCCAGGGGUUUGACCAGAUAGUAAAUCUAAAGACUAACCACUGGGUCAUGUUAAGUAACCUCCGCUGACAGCUGUUCAGGGGGCUGAAUCUCAUCCUGAUCCACCUGAGGCUGGGGCAGGCAAGAGGAGGAGAUACCAAUUCUGCCCCCAAAAGAAGGACUGUAAACAAAUACUAUGUGCUGCACAUGUGAGAAAUACAUCUGCAAUGUUCAUGCACACACUUGCAUACUGUCCUACAUGUGCUUAUUAGAGUUGAUAGAUUUAUGUUCUUCACGUUGUUGUUUAGUAUCUAUUAACUUAUUUUAUUAUUUGUUAUUGCUGUUUAUACAGCUUGUGUGUGGCGGCAAUGGUUUAAAAAAAAUGGGGGAAGACUCAUAUUUUGUAGUUCAAUUCCUCAUUGUACAGUAUAUAAGAAUAUAUCACGUUGUUGCCAAAAAGACUGUUAUUGUUCCCCUUCAAUAAAAUGC